GACAGAGGGUGCAAACGUUGUUCGGAAUUACUGGGCGUAAAGCGUGCGUAGGUGGUCGUUUAAGUCUGUUGUGAAAGCCCUGGGCUCAACCUGGGAACUGCAGUGGAAACUGGACGACUAGAGUGUGGUAGAGGGUAGCGGAAUUCCGGUGUAGCAGUGAAAUGCGUAGAGAUCGGGAGGAACAUCCAUGGCGAAGGCAGCUACCUGGACCAACACUGACACUGAGGCACGAAAGCGUGGGGAGCAAACAGGG
rnacentral:rRNA from 1 species